GACGAACGCUGGCGGCGUGCUUAACACAUGCAAGUCGAACGGAAAGGCCCUGCUUUUGUGGGGUGCUCGAGUGGCGAACGGGUGAGUAACACGUGAGUAACCUGCCCUUGACUUUGGGAUAACUUCAGGAAACUGGGGCUAAUACCGGAUAGGAGCUCCUGCUGCAUGGUGGGGGUUGGAAAGUUUCGGCGGUUGGGGAUGGACUCGCGGCUUAUCAGCUUGUUGGUGGGGUAGUGGCUUACCAAGGCUUUGACGGGUAGCCGGCCUGAGAGGGUGACCGGCCACAUUGGGACUGAGAGACGGCCCAGACUCCUACGGGAGGCAGCAGUGGGGAAUAUUGUACAAUGGGCGGAAGCCUGAUGCAGCAACGCCGCGUGCGGGAUGACGGCCUUCGGGUUGUAAACCGCUUUCGCCUGUGACGAAGCGUGAGUGACGGUAAUGGGUAAAGAAGCACCGGCUAACUACGUG
rnacentral:rRNA from 1 species